UCUGAAAAAAAUACUAAUAAUUAAACAUUUUAAUAACAAUGUGUAUAUAUGCUUACAAUAUUAAUUUUGAUUAAUGGAAAUUUCCUCAAUGAUUUUUUUGUCCUUCCCUGUUAUUUAUUAUGGAAAAGGAGACUGAAAUACCUACUUGCACAAAAUCGUUGCCACAAAACACGAUAACACGGAUAUUAAUCGAAUUAUAAUGGAUAUAAGUGUAAAUGCGAACACUUAAACAAAUACAAUGAUUAAACCUAUUUUAAAAUCUAAA